CUUGAGUCUUUCAUUGAGUUUCCGUGGGUUCUAUGAAGAUCUCAAAAUGUUCUGGAUGCGCCUUGCUCUGCUUUGUGUAGCCGCUUCCCUUGUGUACGCCAAAAAAGACAUCCCGCGGGAGAAGAUUGUGACAAUGGAUUUACAUUUACGAAAUGAGAUAUGCAACAAAAGCCCCUCCUAUGGUGGAUGUAUGGGACGUCGCGUUUUGUGGUACUACAAUGCCUACCGCCGUAAAUGCGAGCAUUUCAUCUAUUCAAACUGUGGCGGCAACAACAAUCGGUUUCACACAUAUAAGGAAUGUGCCGAACUUUGUUUCUAAUGGCAAAUCGACUCCUAACAUAUAUCUGUUUCUUUUGUAACCAUAAAUAUAUUUGUCUAAAUAAUACAAGUUACAAUUUCUAAUAUACGACGGAUACUACGAAGGGAUACUAAUAAAAUUGUCGAGUCCCUGAAUAAUCUAUAACUGAUUAGAGUGCCCAUUAGUGGUAUAAUUCAUUUGCUCUGAAGCUGAAUCCAAGCAGACUUCCUUUGCCUUCAACAGAGCAUGAUCAUGAUACUGCUUUUCGGUGUUGAAAACGGUGUUGACAAUUGUAUGUGUUUGUACUUUCAAGUUUUUACUUGUAUAGCCAUCGGAAACGGAUCCAUAAAUUGAAAUGAGAUUUCUAUAGCUGGUAGCUUCAAGGGCAGUCUUGAUUUGUACCGGGAGAAUCGAUGACACUAUUUCUAACCACUGUUCCCACAUUGAGUAAUGCAAGAGUAUGUACGUUUCCACAUCGAAAGUUUUGGAUCACUUGGGAUGCUUAAUUUAGAAGCCAGCUGGGAGAAAACUUUUUGCUUUGUAGAAAGCCCUUUCUUUCAUUCAACGCUGGGUGCUCUGUGAACUAUAAAUGGCAGAAGCUUGGCUCUGAGCUGGUCAUUCGCUGGCAGGAAGAUCUCAUCUCAAUAUGUUAUGGUUGCGCAUUGCAAUUAUUUCUUUGCUCGCUUGGAUUGUGUAUUCCGCAGUUAAUAAAGAUAUUUUUGAGGAUAAUUGGUUUAAGGAGCUUCAACGGAAGUUACACAAAGAUGUCUGCCUCCAGCAACCUUCCUAUGGCAAAUGCAAAGGACAUCGCCGGCUUUGGUACUUCAAUGGCAGUCGGAAGAAAUGCGAGACGUUCAUCUAUUCGAACUGCGGCGGUAACCCUAAUCGUUUUUACAACUAUGAAGAUUGCCACGACUUUUGCCAAAAACGCGACCCGUUUACUAUCUAUAAAUCUAUACAAAUGAAUGAUUGGGUAAAAGGGAAUAUAAAAUAGCCAAAUAAAAUAAAUAUUCUUUAAAAUAAAUCUUGAAUCUAAAACACUUGAA